AUGCGCCGCUCCGACAAGCCCGGCGCCUUCCCCACCCGCGCCGAGCUCCUCGCCGCGGGGCGCGCCGACCUCGCCGCCGCCGUCGAGUCCAGCGGAGGCUGGCUCUCCCUCGGAUGGUCCUGGUCCUCCGACGACGACGCGCGGCGGCCGGCUGCGUCAACGGCCGGCCCCGGCGUGCACCCUGAAUACCCGCCCGAGGCGGGUCCUUCUGGCCGACCGCCAAACUCGGCCGCGGAUUCCGUAAGGGAGCAGCAGGAACCGGCGCCGUCUGGGAGGCAGCCGGAGACGGAGGAGACAGAGGAGGCAGGGUCUGGGGCAGGCCUGGAGGGAAUGCUCGCCAGGCUGCGGAGAGAGAGGGAGCGUGCGCGGCCACCGCCACGCAGCAAGAAUCAAGCGGGAGGGCGAGGUCAAAAUGGCGCUUUAAUGAACCAUAAUGGAGCUCCUAGUCGAAGUCCAACUAAUGGCAUGUACACUCGAAGGAUACCUGUGAAUGGAAAUAUACACCGCUCUCAUUCUCAAAAUGGAAUACCAGAGGACAACAAAUCAAGUAGUUCGGCCAAUGAUGCAUGGCGAACAUGGUCUCUUGACAAGAGUCGGUUUUCUGAUUUUGAAGCCGCUGAGAUCCAUCCUUUGAGCAGAAAACCACCAAAACAUGUUGACCUGAACACUGUGUUGAUAGAAGAUGAUGUUCCUGGACCAUCUAAUGGUGUGGUUAUAAAUGAUUAUCCUAGUGAUCAUGUAGACUCUGAAAGAGAUGAGAUACAUGCACGUUUUCAAAAUUUGGAAUUCGAUCUUGCAGAUUCUCUUAAGACAUUAAGAUCAAGAUUUGAUGGAGUUUCGUCAUAUAUGUCAAAUGGCGAAGAAGCAGAUGUGGUAAAUGGGUUCUCUGAUGAUUGGGAAUUUGAAGAGACAAAAGUAAUGCAUGCCCAGGAAGAAUUACGGACAAUCCGUGCUAAAAUAGCAGUAUUAGAAGGCAAGGUGGCGCUAGAAAUAAUUGAGAAGAACAAAAUAAUUGAAGAAAAGCAAACGAGGCUUGAUGAAGUUGAGAAGGCUUUGAGUGAGCUCCGCACAGUAUCUGUUGUAUGGCCCAAUCCUGCUUCAGAAGUUCUAUUGACCGGUUCUUUUGAUGGGUGGACAAGCCAAAGAAGGAUGGAACAAUCAGAAAGCGGCAUUUUUUCGUAUAACCUGAGGUUGUAUCCCGGUAGAUAUGAGGUAAUGGCGUGCUAUUCUGCUUUCAUUGUCACUGCUUUCUCGUCAUCUGAUAGUGGGUGUUGGUUUGUGCUUCAGAUUAAAUUUAUUGUUGAUGGUGUUUGGAAGAACGACCCGCUGCGCCCUAGCGUGAACAACCAUGGGAACGAAAACAACCUUAUGAUUGUCACUUGA
rnacentral:rRNA from 1 species